GAAUUUUGGACAAUGGGCGAAAGCCUGAUCCAGCCAUGCCGCGUGAGUGAAGAAGGCCUUCGGGUUGUAAAGCUCUUUUAGUCGGAAAGAAAGAGUUGCAAUGAAUAAUUGUGAUUUAUGACGGUACCGACAGAAAAAGCACCGGCUAACUACGUGCCAGCAGCCGCGGUAAUACGUAGGGUGCGAGCGUUAAUCGGAAUUACUGGGCGUAAAGAGUGCGUAGGCGGUUUUCGAAGUUCGGUGUGAAAUCUCCCGGCUUAACUGGGAGGGUGCGCAGAAGACUGGGAAGCUGGAGUGUGGGAAAGGCAGGCGGAAUUCCUGGUGUCGCGGUCAAAUGCGUAGAUAUCAGGAGGAACACCGGCGGUGUAGACGGCUUGCUAGACCAUAACUGACGCUGAGGCACGAAAGCGUGGGUAGCAAACA
rnacentral:rRNA from 1 species